GGGAGCUCUCGGGGCACUGGCAGCACUACAGCCCCCACAUCUUCUCCGUCCCCGCCGCCCCCGAGACCCUCUCCCUCAAACCCAUGAACUGCCCGGCCCACUGCCUGAUGUUCGCCCACCGGCCGCGCUCCUGGCGGGAGCUGCCCCUGCGCCUGGCGGAUUUCGGGGUCCUGCACCGCAACGAGCCCCCCGGGACCCUGACGGGGCUCACGCGGGUCCGGCGCUUCCAGCAGGACGAUGCCCACAUUUUCUGCACCCUGGAGCAGCUGGAGAGCGAGAUCGAUUCCUCCC